rnacentral:ncRNA from 1 species
CUGGGCGUGGGCCGGUGUUCGUUCUUGCACUGGUGCUGGGGAUAUCUGGGUAUUCAUUCAAUUGUAUAUCUAGUAUCUUCUUCAUCAAUGUUGGUUCGUCCUGAGAUUAUACGGCGAAAACUUGAUCUGGAUAAUACCAGCGAAAGGAUCAUGCCUCCCCCCUUC